rnacentral:misc_RNA from 1 species
CGCACAUUGCGCCCCAUGGAAUUCCACGAGGCAUGCCUGUUCGAGCGUCAUUUACCCCCUCAAGCUCUGCUUGGUGUUGGGCACUGUCCCCGCGGGACUUGCCCCAAAGACAUUGGCGGCCGGCGGUCGUGGCCUACGGAGCGCAGCACAUGCAAUCCACGGCGCGACGGCGGCGUCCACAAGCCAUCAUCUCCUGUAUUGACCUCGGAUCAGGUAGGGAUACCCGCUGAACUUAA